rnacentral:rRNA from 1 species
UACGGGGGGGGGCAAGCGUUGUUCGGAAUUACUGGGCGUAAAGGGCGCGUAGGCGGCCUGCUAAGUCGGACGUGAAAUCCCUCGGCUCAACCGGGGAACUGCGUCCGAUACUGGCGAGGCUUGAAUCCGGGAGAGGGAUGUGGAAUUCCAGGUGUAGCGGUGAAAUGCGUAGAUAUCUGGGAGGAACACCAGUGGCGAAGGCGGCAUCCUGGACCGGCAUUGACGCUGAGGCGCGGAAAGCUAAGGGGGAGCAAACGGGG